GCAAACAGGAUUAGAUACCCUGGUAGUCCACGCCGUAAACGAUGUCUACUUGGAGGUUGUGGCCUUGAGCCGUGGCUUUCGGAGCUAACGCGUUAAGUAGACCGCCUGGGGAGUACGGUCGCAAGAUUAAAACUCAAAUGAAUUGACGGGGGCCCGCACAAGCGGUGGAGCAUGUGGUUUAAUUCGAUGCAACGCGAAGAACCUUACCUACUCUUGACAUCCAGAGAAGCCAGCGGAGACGCAGGUGUGCCUUCGGGAGCUCUGAGACAGGUGCUGCAUGGCUGUCGUCAGCUCGUGUUGUGAAAUGUUGGGUUAAGUCCCGCAACGAGCGCAACCCUUAUCCUUGUUUGCCAGCGAGUAAUGUCGGGAACUCCAGGGAGACUGCCGGUGAUAAACCGGAGGAAGGUGGGGACGACGUCAAGUCAUCAUGGCCCUUACGAGUAGGGCUACACACGUGCUACAAUGGCGCAUACAGAGGGCAGCAAGCUAGCGAUAGUGAGCGAAUCCCAAAAAGUGCGUCGUAGUCCGGAUUGGAGUCUGCAACUCGACUCCAUGAAGUCGGAAUCGCUAGUAAUCGUGAAUCAGAAUGUCACGGUGAAUACGUUCCCGGGCCUUGUACACACCGCCCGUCACACCAUGGGAGUGGGCUGCAAAAGAAGUGGGUAGUUUAACCUUUCGGGGAGGACGCUCACCACUUUGUGGUUCAUGACUGGGGUGAAGUCGUA
rnacentral:rRNA from 1 species